rnacentral:rRNA from 1 species
CCAGCAGCUGCGGUAAUUCCAGCUCCAAUAGCGUAUAUUAAAGUUGUUGCAGUUAAAAAGCUCGUAGUUGGAUUUCAAGAGACGCAGCGUGGAUAACACGUCUGCCCUCUACCAGUCUUAGACUGUUACUGUGAGAAAAUUAGAGUGUUCAAGGCAGGCUAUCGCCCUGAAUACACAAGCUUGGAAUAAUGAAAUAGGACUUUUUCCAUUUUAUUGGUUAUUGGAGAGAGUAAUGAUUAAUAGGGACAGUUGGGGGCAUUAGUAUUUCGUUGUCAGAGGUGAAAUUCUUGGAUUUACGAAGGACUAACUUAUGCGAAAGCAUUUGCCAAGGAUGUUUUCAUUAAUCAAGAACGAAAGU